CAAUUUGUUUUUUCUUUGUAACUCUUUUGGAAUGAGUAGUAUAAAGAUAGUCAGUUAGGGCAGACUCAAAAGGAGACCCUGAAAAUAUUUCUCCUUCUCCCUUUGGAGAAGAAGCCCCCACCCCUAUAUUUUCUCCAUCUUCUCCAAAGAAAAGAAGACUGCCGCAUAUUCUCUCCUUUGAGACAACCGCUGCUCCAUCUCACCGGCGAACCACCACAGAACCACUCCCAACCGUCCAGCGCCACCCCUUCCCCCCUCAUCUCCUUGCUCCGUUUCCAGAUUGCCGCCACCCAACUAAAAUUUCACUGCCCAACUACUCUUCUUCAUCUUCCUUCCUCACUACUGAUAAAGAAGCUCAACAGCCACGAUGAGCUCCAACAACCAAUAGCUCGCCAGCGUGAAUCAAGAUCAACACAAUAGCAAACAUCAACGAGCAGAUGCUUCGUCCUCCAGCAAAACAACAAGCUCCAUCUUCAACGAUGUCGGCCUAUGAUGCCUAUUGGGUACCUAUUGUCUUGGUACUCAUACUACACUCUGCAUCUACUUUCGUGAUGCUGGAUUGAGCACCAGCUACCGUUCGUGGAAAGAUCGAACAUGUUGCAGUCAGCUUCGGAGACUAGGGUGAUCACUUGAUGUUUUUGGAUCAUUUCUGUCUCCUUCAGUAUAGAUGGCUCGUCUUUUGCUUUUUGACACUAGCCAAUUGUUGUAUAUAUUUGUGGUCCAUUUUCGGGACUUUUACUCAUAUUUUAUUUUGUAGAAGCUCUGUACUUGUGACCUUCAGGUUUUGGGAGGGACCUUUAGUUGUUUAUAUCAUGUUUUGGUUUACUUCGACUUA